AAGCCCGCCGGGAAGAAACGGUGACCUCAACAAGAUGAUAUGGUGUUUAAAAACACUUUCAAACCCCCUCUCAAAAGGUUCUCGACAAAGAACAAAAACCUUCGCAUACUUAGUGGUUGCCAUGGCACGGCCUCACAAUGUUUUUUACAUCAUAGAGGGUGUUACUACAUUCCAUACAUUCUUAAGAGAUCAGAGGGAUAUUUUGGCGUGUAAUAUGGGCUCCACCUCAUGAAGCUGAUGUAUGGAACCACUAUCCACAAUGCUGGGGUUUGGUUUGAAGCCUCUGGAAGGAAGACACAGAGCCCAGGGGACUUCCUUUGGGUUGGAGCGCAUCAUGUUGGGACCAGAGUGCACCAGAGUCCUAUGCAAAGACAAUGGCCAAGUGAGAACACUGAGGG
rnacentral:lncRNA from 1 species